GACAGAGGGUGCAAACGUUGCUCGGAAUUACUGGGCGUAAAGCGCGUGUAGGCGGUUCCGUAAGUCGGGUGUGAAAUCCCUCGGCUCAACUGAGGAAGUGCACUCGAUACUGCAGAACUAGAGUACCGGAGAGGGUGGUGGAAUUCCUGGUGUAGAGGUGAAAUUCGUAGAUAUCAGGAGGAACACCGGCGGCGAAGGCGGCCACCUGGACGGAUACUGACGCUCAGACGCGAAAGCGUGGGUAGCAAACAGG
rnacentral:rRNA from 1 species